rnacentral:rRNA from 1 species
UACGUAGGGGGCGAGCGUUGUCCGGAUUUAUUGGGCGUAAAGAGCGUGUAGGCGGCCAGGUAGGUCUGCUGUGAAAACUCGAGGCUCAACCUCGAGACGUCGGCGGAAACCAUCUGGCUAGAGUCCGGAAGAGGAGAGUGGAAUUCCUGGUGUAGCGGUGAAAUGCGCAGAUAUCAGGAAGAACACCCGUGGCGAAGGCGGCUCUCUGGGACGGUACUGACGCUGAGGCGCGAAGGCGUGGGGAGCGAACGGG